UCNCNUGUUUAACAAAAACAUGGCUCUCUGGGUAGACAAAGAGAUAGGGGGUCCGGCCUGCCCGGCGAGGGUAUGGCUUUUAACGGCUGCGGUAAUAUGUACUAAGGUAGCAUAAUUAGCUUGCCCUUUAAUUGUGGUGCGAUACGUGAAUGGCAAGACGAGAGUUCAGCUGUCUCGGUGCUGGUGAUGUGAAAAUAUAGUGCAGGUGAAAAUGCCUGGAUAACGUGGGGGGAAGAGAAGACCCCGUGGAGCUUGAAUGGCAGCUCGUAAGUACUAAAUAUUUGGGUUCUUUCUUUUUUGUUAGAGUUGUGGGGCUGAGUAGGGUUUGAGUGUUCAUAUUGACUGGGGCAGUUGGAUAAGCAAAGCAUAUUGUCAAAGGGGUGAUAGAAGCGUGCUUGCUAAUAAGAUCCACUAAAAUAGUGAUCUUCGGAAUUAGUUACCCCGGGGGUAACAGACUAAUCUCGCUCUGUGAGGACGUAUUGACGAGCGGGUUUGGCACUUCGAUGUUGGCUUAGGAUGUCCUGAAGAUGUAGAAGUCUUCGAGGGUUGGUCUGUUCGCCCAUUAAAAUCCUACGUGAUCUGAGUUCCAAACCGGA
rnacentral:rRNA from 1 species